UUUUUUUUUGUUUGCUAUGGCUUCAUUCGCACUGGACUUAUCGAACAUUUUGCCAACAUCAACAUUCAAUACUUGGUUUGUGAGUAUAGGAUGUUGGUAAAACUCACCUGUGAGUUUGACACCGAUGACCUUGGGACACUUCAGCUCCCACGGGAUGUCGGCCAUUACAUCUACAGCAUCAGCUCCGCCAACACCUGGGCAUACAUAGCAUAUAAAGUUUAAGCAAUACCAUAUGUAUAACAUAUAAAACUAUAAGUUAAGACAAGUAAAUAAUAAAUUUUAAAUAAUAUGUCUUAUGUGUUAAAUUCAUGACAGUAUUGUUAAUAUCUGUGUUUUCAGAUUGAAUUAACAUAGCUCUGAAACAUAUCUCAAUGACAUAAUAUGUUUUCGGUAUAUCUAUAUAUUUUAGCAGGCAUAUAAUAAAUACACGUACAAAUUAGUAAGUAAAUUGUAAUGGCAACUCCUUUUGAGGUCUUACCAAUGCAGAGUCCACCAAGACCACCGCCGUUAGGAGUGUGAGAAUCGGUACCGAUCAUCAGUAAACCAGGAAAGGCGUAAUUCUCCAAGAUGAUCUGGUGAAUGAUACCAGAACCAGGUUUCCAGAACCCAACUCCGUACUUGGCACCGGCUGUUUCAAGGAACUUGUAUACCUCUUUGUUAAUAUCCUAAUGAAAAAUAAAUUACUUUAGUAUCAUAUUAUUACACUUAUUGAGUAAAUUCAAUCAUUGCUUGAAUACCUUGGCUCUUGCUAAAUCUUUAUCUCCGCCGAUUUGGGCCUCAAUCAAGUGAUCGCAGUGGAUGGUAGAUGGAACAGCCACUCUGGGGAGUCCUGAAGAUAUGAACUGUAGCAUGGCCAUCUGCGCUGUGGCAUCUUGCAUUGCAACACGGUCAGGACGAAGGCGGAGAUAGCUGGUACCACGUUCGAUUUCC